rnacentral:rRNA from 1 species
UACGGAGGGUGCAAGCGUUAAUCGGAAUUACUGGGCGUAAAGCGCACGCAGGUGGCUGAGAAAGUCGAUUGUGAAAGCCCUGGGCUUAACCUGGGAAUUGCAGUCGAAACUACUCGGCUAGAGUAUGGGAGAGGACAGUGGAAUUCCCGGUGUAGCGGUGAAAUGCGUAGAUAUCGGGAGGAACAUCAGUGGCGAAAGCGGCUUCCUGGUCCAGCACCGACGUUCAGGCACGAAAGCGUGGGGAGCAAACAGG